rnacentral:rRNA from 1 species
GACGAACGCUGGCGGCGUGCUUAACACAUGCAAGUCGAACGGAAAGGCCCUGCUUUUGUGGGGUGCUCGAGUGGCGAACGGGUGAGUAACACGUGAGUAACCUGCCCUUGACUUUGUGAUAACUUCAGGAAACUGGGGCUAAUACCGGAUAUGAGCUCCUGCUGCAUGGUGGUGGUUGGAAAGUUUCGGCGGUUGGGGAUGGACUCGCGGCUUAUCAGCUUGUUGGUGGGGUAGUUGCUUACCAAGGCUUUGACGGGUAGCCGGCCUGGGAGGUUUACCGGCCACAUUGGGACUGAGAUACGGACCAGAAUCCAACGGGAGGCAGCAGUGGGGAAUAUUGCACAAUGGGCGGAAGCCUGAUGCAGCAGCGCCGCGUGCGGGAUGCCGGCCUUCGGGUUGUAAACCGCUUUCGCAUGUGACGAAGCGUGAGUGACGGUAAUGGGUAAAGAAGCACCGGCUAACUACGUG